CCUCAACUACAAUCUAAUCCUUUCAUGUGCCAGUGAAAAAAUGGCCUUUGAGAUAAAAUCCUAAGCAAUUAACAUGACCAUUAGGGUUUGGCCUCAGCUUCCAGCCUAAUGUCUGUUCAUGAAUUGUAAGCUUCAAUUUCAGUAUGACCACAUUCUUUCUUGGUAGUAGUUAACUCCUCACACCUUAAAUUGACUGCUUAACUGAAAACCUCACAUGCUGCACUAGAGAGUAAACUCACUGAGAGCAGAGACUGAGUUUCAUUCCCAGCGCAGUCCCUAAACACGCGUGCAUGCGAGCCCUCACUUCAGUCAUGUCCAAUUCUGUGCAACCCCGUGGUCUGCAGCCCGUCAGGCUCCUCUGUCCAUGGGAUUCUCCAGGCAGGUUCUUUACCACAAGGGCCACGUGGGAAGCCCACCUAAGCAUGCUGCUGCUGCUGCUAAGUCACGUGUCCGACUCUGUGCGACCCCAUAGACACCAGCCCACCACGCUCCCCCGUCCCUGGGAUUCUCCAGGCGAGAACACUGGAGUGGGUUGCCAUUUCCUUCAAUGCAUGAAAGUGAAAAGUGAAAGUGAAGCCGCUCAGUCGUGUCCAGCUCUUAGCGACCGCAUGGACUGCAGCCCACCAGGCUCCUCCAUCCAUGGGAUUUUCCAGGAAAAAGAACUUUGGAGCUUCCCUGAUGGCUCAGUGGUAAGGAAUACACCUGCGAAUGGAGGAGACACGGGUUCAAUCCCUGGUCCAGGAAGAUCCCACAUGCUGCAGAGCAACUCAACCUGUAUGCCACAAAUACAAAGCCUGUGCUCUAGAGCCUGGAAGCCACAACCCCUGAGCCCACACGCCCUAGAGCCUGUGUUCUGCAACAAGAGAAACCACUGCAGUGAGAAGCCCAGCACUGCAACUAGAGAAAAGCCCACACAGUGAUGAAGACCCAGUACAACCAAACAUAGAAAAAUAAUUUUUAAAAAUUUUUUAAAGAAUUUUUGUUCAUCUAGCAAAUCAUUAAGUUACUGAACCACACAUGUGAAAUGGGAUCAGCGUAACCUAU
ensembl:lncRNA